rnacentral:misc_RNA from 1 species
UUAAAUAAAAAUCGGUGUUGUUGCUGCCUUUCGCGGUAAUGCAUCGGAAUUGAGUCGUCUUACCUUCGGUUAAGUGACUUAAAAUUUUAUGUGAUUUUUAAACGUAUUUAAACUAUUUACUUAUGUUUGAAUCAAUUGUUGAUUAGGUUCGGUCAUCCUCAUGAUUCCGCGCCUAUAAUUUUUCAUU